CAUCCUCUUUCUUCCUGACCGACCUUCUCCUCUCCAAAGGGGGCUCUGCUGUUCCCAUUUUGCACAAGAGCAGAGUGAGGCCCAGGGUUGAAAGGUCUCCGGAGGCUUCUGGCCACUGAGAGGUGGAGCCAGGCUGGGAGCACACAUCUUCCAGACUCCAACCCCGCCCUGUUUCCGUGAAAUGACUGGACUCUUCUAUGGACCCAGUGGAGCUCAGACAAGGGUCCAGGCCCUGACACUGCCCCAGAGCAGGGGUGCCAGCACCUAUGAGGAUGCCAAGCUCAGGUCAUCGCCCUGCGGUGUCUCAGCCAACUGGGCCUCGAACAGCCCCAUAAACUUGGACAUAAACACAAUUAAAGUUUUUUAUUACAUUAUA
rnacentral:lncRNA from 1 species